UGGGGAAUAUUGCACAAUGGAGGGAACUCUGAUGCAGCGACGCCGCGUGAGUGAUGAAGGAAUUCGUUUCGUAAAACUCUGUUCUAUGGGAAGAAAAGGACUGUACCAUAGGAGAAAGCUCCGGCUAAAUACGUGCCAGCAGCCGCGGUAAUACGUAUGGAGCGAGCGUUGUCCGGAAUUAUUGGGCGUAAAGGGUGCGCAGGCGGCUUUACAAGUUGGAUGUGAAAUAUUGUGGCUCAACCACAAACGUGCAUCCAAAACUGCAAAGCUUGAGUUAAGGAGAGGUAAGUGGAAUUCCUGGUGUAGCGGUGGAAUGCGUAGAUAUCAGGAGGAAUACCGGUGGCGAAGGCGACUUACUGGACUUAACUGACGCUCAGGCACGAAAGCGUGGGGAGCAAACAGG
rnacentral:rRNA from 1 species